UACGUAGGGUGCGAGCGUUGUCCGGAAUUAUUGGGCGUAAAGAGCUUGUAGGCGGUUUGUCGCGUCUGCUGUGAAAAUCCGGGGCUCAACCCCGGACUUGCAGUGGGUACGGGCAGACUAGAGUGUGGUAGGGGAGACUGGAAUUCCUGGUGUAGCGGUGGAAUGCGCAGAUAUCAGGAAGAACACCCGUGGCGAAGGCGGCUCUCUGGGACGGUACUGACGCUGAGACGCGAAAGCGUGGGGAGCGAACAGG
rnacentral:rRNA from 1 species